GAUAACGCUGGCGGCGUGCAUGAGACAUGCGAAGUCGAACGGACGAUCAGAGCUUGCUCUGUUCGUUAGUGGCGGACGGCUGAGUAACGCGUAGGUGACCUGCCCCGAAGUGGGAAUAACUGCCCGAAACGGGUGGCUAAUACCGCAUGUGGUGCCGAGUUCAAUCUCGUCACCAAAGCCGCAAGGCGCUUCGGGAGGGCCUGCGUCCGAUUAGCUCGUUGGUGGGGAACGGCGUCACCAAGGCGACGAUCGGUAGGUGGUCUGAGAGGACGAGUCACCCAGACUGGGACUGAGACACGGCC
rnacentral:rRNA from 1 species